rnacentral:lncRNA from 1 species
GGCAGAAUGGGUCUUUAGUUUCAGCAAAGGUUCCAGAAGCAUUUAUUGAGUUUAAACUGAGUUCAGAGCUGUGUGCCUGGGAAAACUAUCUGAAGAUAUGCACAGUUUUUGGAAGAGCCAAACAGUGAGGAUGUCAUGGCAUUUUCAAUUCUUUCAUGCUAUUUUUUUUUAAAACAAUCUUUGUUUAAUAGACCUGGCCUAUGACUACAUAGAUAGCUACAAAUAAUUUAUAGAAAUACUCAUUAAAAUCAAGAAGAAAAAGAAUUAGGAACCAAGGAGGAAGUUUACUUAAAAAAUUAGCUGGAACAGCUGAAAAAAGAUAUUAAUAAAUAACAAGGUGACAACUCUCAGGCCUUCCAAAAUACUUUUGUUCUUGUGCCACCUGACCCCAUGGUUUUGGAUAUAACCUGGAGUGUUUGCUACCCUGAGGUCAGCCAUCACACUCUCUAUCACUCACUUGGCAAAGGCCCUUUUUUCUCAUAGUUCGAGGCUACUGUGAGACACACUUGAUUAAACCAAAGGCACAAGAUGUAUAGUUAGGUGAUAGUCAUACUUCCCUCAACUAAAUAACUUUCUUGGUAUGUCAUUUCCACAGUGUGCCCUUAGCAUUUCAGGGAGAGCUACAGGCCUCUCAAUUCACAGCCAUAGAAUUUCUGCUGGUAAUGGGGUGCUUCCCCUGGGCACUGAGAUCUGUCUGCUUUACCUUCCUACCUGCAUGCUUUCUCUUCUUACUAGGGUGGUUAUUUAAUGGAAUUCUGUUUAUUUUUCUCUCUCAAAAAACAAUACUGUUAAUAAUAAUAGCAACUGCUGUACUUAUAUAUAUUUUUCUAAAUUUCACACCAAUUUUAGUAUACUGGUCUUAAUAUUUCCAUUUCACAAUAAGAAAUAGACAAGAUUCUCCAGCUAGUGACAGUACUAUGAUUUAAAAGUACAUUUGUCUAGAUCCAAAAGCCAUCCUCUAUUCCCUAUACCACUUUAUGAUAUUGCUUUGCUUUAUUUUUUUUGUUCUAAUUAGUUAUAUAUGCCAGUAGAAUGCAUUUUGACAUAUCAUACAUAAAUGGAGUAUAACUUCUCAUUAUUCUGGUUGUAUAUGAUGUAGAAUUAUACCAGCCAUGUAAUCAUAUAUGUAUAUAGGGUAAUAAUGUCUGAUUCAUCCUACUGUCCUUCCUACACCUGAAAAGUAGACACAGAAAUUGCUCUCCUUUGCUUUUAUGAUACAGUACUGUGGUCUUUGACUAGGGCUUUGGUGUCCCAGACAGAGUUACUAAUUUUCAGAGACUAAAGUAGACAAACAAUGGACUCAAUAAGAUUUCCAAAGUGAUACAUGAUCGCUGUUUGUCAAACUCCCCAACUCAAGCUGAAUUAUGGAAAUUAAGCCCUCAUAAGCCCAGUUGACAGAAAGCUGCACAGUUUAGGUGGCUGAUUUUGUACAAGGGAUCUUUCUUAGAGCUUAGAAUAGGAACAUCUGACUCCCCAUAGGGGCUGACCAGUUGAAAAUGUCCACUGUCCUUAACAAAUCUCAGAGAUUUGACCAGGGAAGUAGAAAGUGGAUUUAGCUU